ACAGCCUUGGUCGUUUGGGAUUGUCACUAGACACGUUCACUUAACAGUGACAGCAUUAAGUUACGGUGCCAAACAGAUUGUCACACAGAAGUAGUGGA